rnacentral:rRNA from 1 species
GAAUAUUGGUCAAUGGAGGCAACUCUGAACCAGCCACGCCGCGUGAAGGAUGACGGCCCUAUGGGUUGUAAACUUCUUUUGUAUGGGAAUAAACCUUUCUACGUGUAGGAAGCUGAAGGUACCAUACGACUAAGCAUCGGCUAACUCCGUGCCAGCAGCCGCGGUAAUACGGAGGAUGCAAGCGUUAUCCGGAUUCAUUGGGUUUAAAGGGUGCGUAGGCGGAAGAAUAAGUCAGGGGUGAAAGCCGGUCGCUUAACGAUCGAAUUGCCUUUGAUACUGUUUUUCUUGAGUUUGGUUGAAGUGGGCGGAAUGUGAAGUGUAGCGGUAAAAUGCAUAGAGAUUUCACAGAACACCGAUUGCGAAGGCAGCUCACUAAGCCACAACUGACGCUGAUGCACGAAAGCGUGGGGAUCAAACA